rnacentral:lncRNA from 1 species
AUGCUACUGUUUACUGGGUUAAUAAAAUAUUUUAAAAGGUUUAGAUUGGGUUUUGUGUCUCUCACUCAUACUCUAUCAACUGAUAGUUCUGAAGGUGCGUACGUACAUCUUACUAUGAUUGGCUAUAACAUUCAUUUAUUUACUUCUACAAAACUGACAAACAUUGUAAAGUUCACAUUUCCCCUUUUUGUCACACCUAUUAAUUUCCCUCUUUCUUUCCCUAAACCCCCCAUAAUCUCUCUAUCUGUCUCUCUCUCCCUCUCAGUCUCUCUCUCCCUCUCAGUCUCUCUCUCCCUCUCAGUCUCAGUCUCUCUCUCCCUCUCAGUCUCUCUCUCCCUCUCAGUCUCUCUCUCCCUCUCAGUCUCUCUCUCCCUCUCAGUCUCUCUCUCCCUCUCAGUCUCUCUCUCCCUCUCAGUCUCUCUCUCCCUCUCAGUCUCUCUCUCCCUCUCAGUCUCUCUCUCUCUCUCUCCCUCUGUCUCUCUCUCUCCCUCUCAGUCUCUCUCUCUCCCUCUCAGUCUCUCUCUCUCUCCCUCUCAGUCUCUCUCUCUCUCCCUCUCAGUCUCUCUCUCUCUCCCUCUCAGUCUCUCUCCCUCUCCCUCUCAGUCUCUCUCCGUCUCCCUCUCCGUCUCUCUCUCCGUCUCUCCCUCUCCGUCUCUCCCUCUCCGUCUCUCUCUCUCCCUCUCAGUCUCUCUCUCCCUCUCAGUCUCUCUCUCCCUCUCAGUCUCUCUCUCCCUCUCAGUCUCUCUCUCCCUCAGUCUCUCUCUCCCUCUCAGUCUCUCUCUCCCUCUCAGUCUCUCUCUCAGUCUCUCUCAGUCUCUCUCAGUCUCUCUCUCAGUCUCUCUCAGUCUCUCUCUCAGUCUCUCUCUCUCUCCCUCUCAGUCUCUCUCUCUCCCUCUCAGUCUCUCUCUCUCCCUCUCAGUCUCUCUCUCUCCCUCUCAGUCUCUCUCUCUCCCUCUCAGUCUCUCUCUCUCCCUCUCAGUCUCUCUCUCUCUCUCUCAGUCUCUCUCAGUCUCUCUCUCUCCCUCUCAGUCUCUCUCUCUCCCUCUCAGUCUCUCUCUCUCCCUCUCAGUCUCUCUCUCUCCCUCUCAGUCUCUCUCUCCCUCUCAGUCUCUCUCUCCCUCUCAGUCUCUCUCUCUCCCUCUCAGUCUCUCUCUCUCCCUCUCAGUCUCUCUCUCUCCCUCUCAGUCUCUCUCUCCCUCUCAGUCUCUCUCUCCCUCUCAGUCUCUCUCUCUCUCCCUCUCAGUCUCUCUCUCUCUCCCUCUCAGUCUCUCUCUCUCCCUCUCAGUCUCUCUCUCCCUCCCUCUCAGUCUCUCUCUCCCUCCCUCUCAGUCUCUCUCUCCCUCCCUCUCAGUCUCUCUCUCCCUCCCUCUCAGUCUCUCUCUCCCUCCCUCUCAGUCUCUCCCUCUCCGUCUCUCCGUCUCUCCCUCUCCGUCUCUCCCUCUCUGA